AGAGAGAGACAUGCGCGCAUAUCAAUAAGCGGAGGAAAAGAAACUAACAUAGGAUUCCCUCAGUAACGGCGAGUGAAGCGGGAAGAGCUCAAAUUUGAAAUCUUCAAGGGUUCUACCUUGACGAAUUGUAGUUUAAAGAAGUGUUUUCUGUUGAGGUUUUGGUAAAAGUUCUUUGGAAUAGGACAUCAUAGAGGGUGAGAAUCCCGUAUUUGACCAUUACUUUCCAACUUUGUGAUACACUUUCAAAGAGUCGGAUUGUUUGGGAAUGCAGUCCAAAAUGGGUGGUAAAUUUCAUCUAAAGCUAAAUAUUGGCGAGAGACCGAUAGCGAACAAGUACCGUGAGGGAAAGAUGAAAAGAACUUUGAAAAGAGAGUUAAACAGUACGUGAAAUUGUCAAAAGGGAAGCGUUUGACACCAGUGUUGUUUUCUCGAAAAUCAAUUAAAAAAGGCAGGAUUUUGUGUUGUAUUGACUUUAUCAGCUUUCUGCACUCUUUUCUUGUCUUUUUUAAUGCACUUUUCGUUUAACAAGUCAACAUCAAUUUCUUUUGUUGUAAAAGGGUCAUUGGAAGGUGGCUUUCUUUUCGGAGAAAGUGUUUAUAGCCUUUGGCCUCUGCAAUCGGAGAGAUUGAGGUCUGCAGCGUAGAUCCUUCGGGGUUAGAUACAUUUGUGCUAAGUUAUAGCCUUUUCAUAGACAACUUGUUGACUAUGAUCAGUCAUGUAGCUUACUCGCUUAUGCUAUUUUACCUACGCUUAGGAUGUUGAUGUGAUACUGCGAGCA
rnacentral:rRNA from 1 species